rnacentral:rRNA from 1 species
GACGAACGCUGGCGGCGUGCUUAACACAUGCAAGUCGAACGAAAAUACCAAGCUUGCUUGGUUGAUUAGUGGCGAACGGGUGAGUAACACGUGAGUAACCUGCCCCUUACUUUCCUGGAUAACUGCUCGAAAGGGUAGCUAAUACGGGAUAUUCUGACCAGCCUGCAUGGGUUGGUUUGGAAAGGUUGUUUUUCUGGUAAGGGAUGGGCUCGCGGCCUAUCAGCUUGUUGGUGGGGUGAUGGCCUACCAAGGCUUUGACGGGUAGCCGGCCUGAGAGGGUGGACGGCCACACUGGGACUGAGAUACGGCCCAGACUCCUACGGGAGGCAGCAGUGGGGAAUAUUGCACAAUGGGCGCAAGCCUGAUGCAGCGACGCCGCGUGAGGGAUGAAGGCCUUCGGGUUGUAAACCUCUUUCGUCAGGGAACAAGGCACUGCUUUUUUGGUGGUGUUGAGGGUACCUGGAUAAGAAGCGCCGGCUAACUACGUG